AUCCAGAACAGAGAUCUCAGGUGCCCAAUAUUCGGCAGAGCUUACUUCCUCCAGAGGUUGCCUGGGCAGUUGUGCAGAUCCAUCGUGAACCAGUUAUAGAGAGACCCAGAGAGGCCUUGUAUGAAGUUGUGAAGGUGAAGCCUGGAUUUCAAUGGGGACCCCAAGAAGUUGGAGAUGCCAGAAUUUUUGGAUACCUUCCAAGGAAAGCUGCUAACAAGAAGUGGAGGAGGGGUUGCAGUAACAAAGAUGAAAAGAAUAUGAGAUCUGAAGAGCAAUUUGACAUCAGACAUGGAGAUGUGGAGUUUGGAGUUCACCCAGCAUGGCUGACACUAUCAGAAAGUAUGGCAAAUUAGCCUAUCAUGAUCCACCCAAGACAUUGUACUACGACUACUGAGUCCAAUCAGUACCUCAUAUGUGGGAGAUAGUAAAUAACAUUUGACUAUAUAAUACAGUCAGGGUAACUGAACAAAGACAAAGAGAUCUUCAGGGUAAACCUGUAUCCAACCUGAGAAGCAGGACCAUGUAACUGAGAAACCUAAGAUAUCCAAUGAGACAAGGCUCACACACAGAAUAGUGAGGGGAAAUAGAAUCUGAGUUAUAAGCGUGGCUGAGGCAGGACCAUAGCCUGGGAUACACAUGAGAACACUAUCCAGGGAGAAGUGAAAGAACGGUUUUGCCUUCUGACCUCUGCAAUAACUCUAUUACGAUUCUUGCUGUGCGGCCAUCCACAGGCUUACAUUUAUCUUUCAGACUUUUCUAGCAAAGAAUUAUCUUGCCUAGGAGGGAAGACAGAAGAUAAACAGUCAUGUCACUUGCAACCUGAGGAAGAAAUGUUAGCAACUGAGGGCUCUGUGCAGCUCAAUCGAUAUCACUGGGCAGUGUCCAUUGAUGGGUUUUCAUCUAGCCAUUUCUCAGAGCCAAAGCACUUCCCAAGGAGAGGCAGUUAAGACAUCUUGUUUGUUCUCCCCUCCAUUGCCAAUACCAUGUUUUCCUCAUUUCCUAAAUGAAUCACAGAUGGUCCCUGACUUACAGUGGUUCAUCUUAUAAUGUUGUGACUUUACAAAGGUGCAAAAGCUCUAUGUGCUCAGCAGAAGCUGAACUUUGAAUUUUGAUCUCUUCCUGGGCUGGUGGCAUGAUGCUCUCAUGAGAUGCUGGGCAGCAGUACUGAGCUGUCGCUCCGGUUAGCCAUGAGAUCACGAGAGCAAACAACUGCUACUCUGCGGUGUUGUGCGUUGCUAAGCUGUGCUGUUUGCUAGGUUAGUCGCAUUAAUAACCCCCCCCAACUUACGAUAUUUUCAAUGUACAACAGAGUAAGUGGGACAUCUGUGGUGUCAUAAUCCUGGCUCACUUCUCUACCCAUCCUUCUUCCUCCCUCCCCGCCUCCCUCGCACUCUUUACAUUGUUGAUGGAGCUGCUCUCAUUGACACAUCUCAGUGUGGAAAGUUACAUCAAUGCCCCCCAUGUCUUAUCCCUCUUGCCCCUUUGGAAAGCUUAGAUUUUAUGAUUUCUUCUAAAAGGGUGGAGGAAAAUAUUCUUCACCUGUUGGUUUUGAGUUUGACCAUGUGACUGGUGUCAGCCAAUAAAGAGGAGUGAAAGCGAUGAUGAGCCAGUUCCAAGCCCUGGGGUUUAAGAAGCUUGUGGCAUUUCCUCUUGCUUGUUUAUUCUUACUUAUCUUUGCUCAGCUGUUAUUCCCACCAUGAAGAAACCCUGCUUAAUGGAUCAGUUGCCCAUUUCCACCUCUGCUUUCUGAUUCCAUAACAUUUUGUUUUCAUUUGGUGUAGCCCCCAAUAUUAUUUUAGAAUCAGUUGUCGUGGCCCUGACUAGUCAGAUACCCAAAUCUGUUUUCACCCCUCUUUCUUUGUGUGACAAAUCCUGAUUUGCCUGGCAGUGUUUGCCAGGGAGCCCCACAUACCUUCCUGUGAGUACCUGAGGGUCUGAUGAAUGCAGAAGAUGCAACUCUGAUGAAUGUAGUUGUUUUUUAUUUCUGUACAACCCCCAUAUAAGGACCAGGAAUUUAGUCUCACUUGCUUUUGUACCUUCACUACUUGGCAGAGUGGCAGGCACACAAUAGCUCUUGGUACAGGCUUGCUGAAUUGAGUUGAAGCACCCACAUUGUAUGGAAGCUAGAGGUUUGAGGAUGUAUGUUUGGGUUCUAUCCUUCACCAGAGAUCCUAGAACACCUACAAAUCUAUCUGUUCCCCAAACUGUCUACUAAUUACUUCUUCGUCUCAUAGCAUACCCUACUGUAUUCUACAGGGAAUUGAAAAGAAUACAGCCAAUACAUGAACUCAAGGACAAUGCUCUACUGUUUAUUAAGAACUUGAAGCCACAGUGAAUAAAUUCCUUUACGAAUUAAUGAGCAGACACAUUGUUAGUACCAGUAUGAGGCCAAGAUGGUUAGAGGGAUAACUCACCUUCCCUGCCACAAUAGCCAGCCAAAAACUCUUUCUAAACAAACCCAGAGAAUGUCAAAGUAACACAUCAGGAUUCGGUCCCUCUAUCCUCACACUGGGACCAAGGAAGAGGGGAAAGUGGUCUCUCCGGGCUAUCCUGGAGCUGCGUUCCCAGCCACCAAACUAAUCCUGGGGACAGUGUGCCCAAGCAAAGAAGGUUAAUGAGUUGACGUUCCUGCAUACCACCUCACUCUCCAGCUUUAUUCAUUUUGCUCUUCUGUUGUUUUCCUUCGGUGAUGGCCAGAUUCUUCUUCUCUUAUGCAAAAUAAAAGAAAUCCCACCCCUUGGCAUUUUUCUGAAAACCUUCCAGUCACCUGCCUGUCAUUCCGUUUAUUUUUCUCCUCUCCCAGAGCCUCAUAUUGGCUUUGGUUUCAUUACUCUACUAAAACUACUAAUCAGGGUGAGGUUUCCCUCUUGCCAGGCCCCCAGCUCAGCUCCAUCCUCCUCAGCCUUUAUACACACACCCUUGGCUACUUGGAGGAAUACAAGGCCUGUAUAAAGCCACCUCUCAGUCAGGCCACAUCACACACUGAGCUUCUCUUCCCACUGACAGCUGCUGGUGGGGCAGCUGUUUCCUUUUCUACUGCACCGAGAGUAUGUUGAGACAUGGGCAUAGAGUGUUGUAGUAGCUGGUCUCCCCAUAGAAAAGAGAACCUAGCAUGAGUGAAAGUUCACACAUAAUGCUGAAUAUGACCUUUUUGUUACUCUUAGUAUUGAUCAAUAUAAUUUUUUUCCUGAUCAAAUUUGACUUAUGUCUGAGUUUCUUCCAAUUCUGUUCUCAUGCCAUCUUUUCUGGCCAAAGGCAAGCCCCUUCAGUGAACUACCUCUGUGUAGAAGGUUGCAUUUGUGCCCCCAGUAUUUCAUACCUCCCAUUCCUUGGACAGCUUAGACUUUGUAGUUCCUACCAAAAGCUGGGAGGAAAACAGUUCUGAUUCGCUGGUUUGGGGUUUGCCCACAUGGCUGGUUUCAGUUCUGUGGAUGAAUGAUGCCCCAGGGUAGGCUGCACAACAACUUCCCCAAACACCGGUGACCUAAUCUGUCAAACCGUCGACUUGUUAAUUAUAUGGUAGAGGAGCUCUACCAAUGAGAUUAAACUAAAGUGACAUUUUUGUGAUUGCUGUGUUUUCAGAGUGGUCCUAAAUGCAAUUUCAAGUGUCAUUAGAAGAAAUAGAUGGAGGGAGAUUUGCCUAUAGAAGAGCCCUGACUGGUCAGAGAAGCAGAGACUGGGGGAUCUGGUAGCCUCAUUAUUAUAUUCUCCAUUUAUCUGAGAUCAAGUCUGCAGCCUUCACAGCUGUAAAAAUAUCUGAUUUACAUCUGCUUGAGACUGAAGCUUGAAGUGAAAAGUACUGGGCAAUUAUUUCCCACUUUGAAGAGAACAUAUCUCUUGUGAGAGAAGGAAGACAGUUAGUCCAAGCCUUACUUCUAUUUCUCUAAAGAACAUCAUCCAUUUAAAUGUCCUGUAAGAAUACCCUAUACUGUAAGGGAAGGCAGUAGAGACUUGAAUUCCUGUUCCCCAAGGUAGGCAACUUGGGGACUCUCCACCUCACAGAGUGGGAAGAGGUCCCAGCUGCACACUCCUGCUGCUAGAAAGCCACCUGCCUCCAUGCCUUCCCUUCCACAAUGGCUACAUCCCUUCAGACUGUGAGUCAAACACAGACUCUUCCCUGCUUAAGUUGCUUUCUGUCAGGUAUUUGAUCACAGUUACAAGAACAGUAACUGCC
ensembl:lncRNA